CACUCCUACGGGAGGCAGCAGUGGGGAAUAUUGCACAAUGGGCGCAAGCCUGAUGCAGCCAUGCCGCGUGUAUGAAGAAGGCCUUCGGGUUGUAAAGUACUUUCAGCGGGGAGGAAGGCGAUAAGGUUAAUAACCUUGUCGAUUGACGUUACCCGCAGAAGAAGCACCGGCUAACUCCGUGCCAGCAGCCGCGGUAAUACGGAGGGUGCAAGCGUUAAUCGGAAUUACUGGGCGUAAAGCGCACGCAGGCGGUCUGUCAAGUCGGAUGUGAAAUCCCCGGGCUCAACCUGGGAACUGCAUUCGAAACUGGCAGGCUAGAGUCUUGUAGAGGGGGGUAGAAUUCCAGGUGUAGCGGUGAAAUGCGUAGAGAUCUGGAGGAAUACCGGUGGCGAAGGCGGCCCCCUGGACAAAGACUGACGCUCAGGUGCGAAAGCGUGGGGAGCAAACAGGAUUAGAAACCCGGGUAGUCCCA
rnacentral:rRNA from 1 species